rnacentral:rRNA from 1 species
AGGGAACGAGGGCGGCAGGGUUAACACAUGCAAGUCGAGCGAGCGGCGGACGGGUGAGUAAUGUCUGGGAAACUGCCUGGUGGAGGGGGAUAACUACUGGAAACGGUAGCUAAUACCGCAUACCAUCAGAUGUGCCCAGCGGGGAUUAGCUAGUAGGCGGGGGAAGGUCGCACCUAGGCGACGAUCCCUAGCUGGUCUGAGAGGAUGACAGUCCACACUGGAAGUGAGACACGGUCCAGACUCCAUCGGGAUGCAGCAGUGGGGAAUAUUGCACAAGGGGCGCAAGCCUGAUGCAGCCAUGCCGCGUGUGUGAAGAAGUCCUUCGUGUUGUAAAGCACGUUCAGCGAGGAGGCGUUACUCGCAGAAGAAGCACCGGCUAACUCCGUGCCAGCAGCCGCGGUAAUAC